AAGCAAUUCGUUAGUAACGGUCCCUUGCCAAUUAGUGAACUAAAUUACGUUUGAACAAUUUUCUUCAAAGAUUCUCCUCCUCCCCCCCCAGUGCAUCAUUUGGCAAGUCCCCCGAAUGCUUACAGUAAUUAUGUGCGUGCAGUGAAAGGAGACUGUUACCUCUUAAAGCAAAAUAAAUGAAUAUGUGAUCUUUGUGUUAAUAUAACAAUGAGUAAUACAAAGAGUCACAGACAUCCUCCCUUUGAUCUGCCAGAGAUAAAAACAGCAAUUAAGAUGACAAGCCGUUUUAAAACCCAGAAUAUUGGGAACGUUCCAUGAGGGGAAAGUGAUUGUUCUGUAGGGUUUUCAGGAAAUCAGUGAAGAAGGAUAGCCCUUCUUGUCCCUGGUGACCACAGGCCUUUUGGCACACGUGGUGUGGGUAUCCUGACACCUGUCGAGCCACAAACAGGUUGGCGGUGCUUCUGAAAAUCGUUCCCUCUUUCUGGGAUAGCGUUUAACAAGAAGAGUGGUAUCUCUGUUUCAAAUUGAAAGUCAAGCUGAAGUCAAACGGAAAAUGUUUAGCAUUGUCUCAACCACAUCCUUAAAUAUAUUGGCCGCAACGAGAAAAUAACCCCGACCUCUGGUGCCACGCAGUGAUCGUGGGGACAGGUGUCAGCUUGGUUUUAACGUGAAAGCUGAGGAUUCUUUUGGGAUUUCCAGGGCUGCGUGAGAUCUAGGAAACCAGCUCAUCUGACUUUUGGGUUUGGAAGGAGAGCAGAAAGAAGAAAUGAAACAUGACACACGAGUAGGAGAAACGAAGACACUUUCACACUUUUAAAAAGUGUGAUAGCUGGGAGCUUUGACAUUGAUUUCAAUGGAGCACAGAGGAGCCUCUGCCCACAGUGGUACCCACAAUGCAAAAAUCCUUUGUUGUCCAACGCUGCCCACAUGGAGAUGGGCUAUCACUUUUUCCCCACUGGAUUUCUGUAGUAAUACCCAUGAAAUACCUUGACUAUCCCUGCUAUAAAUGGGAUUGGAAACCAGCUGGUAUAUUUCAUGAGUCCAGUUCUAAUAAUGAACCUUUAUCUGAAGAACUGUUCCUUCAGGUUAUCCUCUCUUGGCUGAGAGUUUAAUUUUCAGACUUUCUGCAUUUUUCCUCUUUAGUCAGCAGGUAAAGUAUGUAGUCGUGGCUGCCGGAGCCGAGUGCCUGCAUUUGUCAUGCCACAGAGCUGCCAUUCUCGGGGGCCAAGAUCUUUGUGCCAGCAGCAUCGUGUCACCCCAAUGGAAUCCCACCCACGUGUGGUGCUGGGCAAAGUCUUUUUUGUUAAUGGAUGAGUAAAAUUGCAUCUGGCUUUUGUUGUCAUCACGAGGUAAGUAAGAGGGAUUUGCAUCUGAGCUGGCACACUUUCUGCAGCCAGCUUCCAAGGCUAAUUUCAGGCAGGCUGGCACAAAUAUCCUUCCUUUACACACAGACUGAGGCUCCGAAGCCUCGUAGGAGUUUUCCAUAGGAAACACCGCCCUGGGUAUCUGUGUGCCAGAUGUGCUCCUAUGGCAUUUCCCUGCACAUCAAUGACCUACUGUUCCAGCACGGAAUCGAUCGGCCUUCUUGUGACGUGUUCUAAAUACUUUGCUGUGAGACUUGUCGUGUAUAGGCUAGAAAAACAGUAAUUAAGGCACCCCCAGGUGUAAAACAUCCGCUGAUUCAACGCCGUCUCGGUGGUGUCUGGUUGGGCAGAGCAGUGGUACCACCAUGCCCCAUGGCCAGAGCCAUUCUGCAAGGGCUCAAGACUCCGUGCCCAACCUCUGGACAUUGUCUUAUCCAUUAGAGAGUGGAUUUAACUCUGUGUUCAAAACGUGUUAAGGAGGGGAUCUGUCAUGCAGACCUAACCCCAAGCGUCCUUCAGGAAGUUUUGGUUUGCUGCUGUUUACAGGAAAGCCCCAGGUCCUUCCCUGGCUUUAGGGAAUCGCUUACCUGUGGGAGAAGUGUGGGCAUGUACAGAAUGCUGGUUGCUUUUAUGGGCAUGAUAUAUUCUGUUCAUACUACUUGUAUUUCUUCACAGGACGUGCAGUGAGGGGAUGUUUAUUCUGAUGAAAGUCUAGGAGUGAUAACAGGAAACCAAGUUCUUUGUGCAGCAAAUUGGCCUUGAAUCACAAACCGAUCUUUUUUUUUUUUUUUCAUCAACAGAGGGUAAGACUGUCUAAAACACAGGAACGUGAUGUGUCCUUAAAACAGCGUGGCAUUUGGAGUUGGCUGAGCUCUACCCAAACCUUUGCCAGCCUCAGAACCGUGAAUUGAAUGUCAACCCGAGCAGGUGGCACACAGGCUGGGAAGCCAUCAGGGGACAGUUGCUUUUUGUCUGUAAAGACAUCUUCUUACCUGUUCAGCUGAACCAGGAAGCUGAAGCUGCUUGUCCCCAUGGGUAGGGCACAGCACUGGGACUCAGGAGAGCUUCCUGCGUACCCCGGAGGGGGCAUUUCUGAGCACCCAAUUGAGCUAGUGCUGCCCAUGGGAGAAGGAACACCAUCCUGCGAGCCCUUGCAGAAGCUGCCAUCACAGAGUUUUGAUGCUGUUGGAUGUCUAUAGAGGCCUCCACAGUGUUCAUAAAACAGCAUAAUGGGGUGUAGUUUCAAUCAGAAUCAGUCUUGUCAAAGUCAAGGAGCUCUGCUUCCACCCAAAAAAGAAAGGAAAGGGAUGUUUCUCCCUGCUGUUCUGGUCAAACCAGCCUGGCAUCGGAGGCUUUACUGAGCUCUGCUCACACCUAGAAUCGUGGGAUCAUUAAGGUUGGAGAAGACACUAAGAUCCCCAACCUCAACCCACCCUGCCAUGCCCACUGCCCACGUCCCUCACUGCCACAUCUCCACGGCUCUGGAACACCCCCAGGGGUGGUGACCCCACCACUCCCUGGGCAGCUGUGCCAAUGCCCAACCAUUCUUUCUGAGAAGAAAUGCUUCUUAAUAUCCAACGUGGUAUCUCCAGCUGCUGUCUGCUACAGCUCUUGGGUCUUCCCCCACAUUGUACCAGUCUGGAUGUCACACAGUGGAGGCACUCACUAUUGCUUUGGGGCCACAAAACCAGGAAUCAGAGGGGCUUUGGGGGUCUGCUUUGGCAGGAGCAGCACAAGCGGCUCAAGAUGACUUCAGUCUAUCACUGGCUGGCUGGGUUUGUUUCCAGCCCACUCUGUCUGCUUCCUAUGGAGUCAGUGAGCCAAUGGAGCCAGGGGAAUGAUGAAUAGCAUCUCGAGGCCCUGGGACAGGGAGUAGACCUCAUCUGGGUUCUGACGAGGACCUCAUCUACGCACUGAACUGCCUGCAGAGCAGCCUGCAGCAGGCAGGAUGCCACACAAGGGAAACCCCAAACUACCUUGGGGUCCUUCCAUGGCGGUGAAUCAGCGCAGGCUCCAGACAUGAGGAAGGUGUGGGUAAGCGCGGCGGCUGGACAAAGCCUUGCUGCCUCCAGCAGCCAAGCAUUUCCUUUGGCUUGCGGUCAUCUGGCUGUUACCUGGCUUCCCUGCCGAUGCAGUGGAAUUAUGCUGAAGUAAAAAGGGAAAGAAUUGGGUCGGCCUGAUGACAUUUCCUUUUCAUUUUAUUUUCGAUUUAUUGCGCG
ensembl:lncRNA